GACGAACGCUGGCGGCGUGCUUAACACAUGCAAGUCGAACGGUGAAGCGCCUUCCUUUUUGGUGGGUGUGGAUGAGUGGCGAACGGGUGAGUAACACGUGAGUAACCUGCCCCCUUCUUCUGGAUAACCGCAUGAAAGUGUGGCUAAUACGGGAUAUUCUGGGUCUGUCGCAUGAUGGGUCUGGGACAGAUAUUGUUUCGGUGGGGGAUGGGCCCGCGGCCUAUCAGCUUGUUGGUGGGGUGAUGGCCUACCAAGGCGGUGACGGGUAGCCGGCCUGAGAGGGUGGACGGUCACACUGGGACUGAGCCACGGCCCAGACUCCGACGGGAGGCAGCAGUGGGGAAUAUUGCACAAUGGGCGCAAGCCUGAUGCAGCGACGCCGCGUGAGGGAUGGAGGCCUUCGGGUUGUGAACCUCUUUCGCCAGUGAAGCAGGCCUGCCUCGUUUGUGGGUGGGUUGACGGUAGCUGGAUAAGAAGCGCCGGCUAACUACGUG
rnacentral:rRNA from 1 species